UGCAGUCGAACGAUACGGGUCUUAGCUUGCUAAGAUUGUCAGCUAAGUGGCGCACGGGUGAGUAAUAUAUAGUUAACCUGCCCUAGAGAGAGGGAUAACGUUUGGAAACGGACGCUAACACCUCAUAUGCCUUUAAGACAAAAGUCUGCAAGGGAAACAUUUAUGGCUCUAGGAUGGGACUGUACGGUAUCAGUUAGUUGGUGAGGUAAUGGCUCACCAAGACAAUGACACCUAACUGGUUUGAGAGGAUGAUCAGUCACACUGGAACUGAGACACGGUCCAGACUCCUACGGGAGGCAGCAGUGGGGAAUAUUGCACAAUGGACGAAAGUCUGAUGCAGCAACGCCGCGUGGAGGAUGACACAUUUCGGUGCGUAAACUCCUUUUAUAUAGGAAGAUAAUGACGGUACUAUAUGAAUAAGCACCGGCUAACUCCGUGCCAGCAGCCGCGGUAAUACGGAGGGUGCAAGCGUUACUCGGAAUCACUGGGCGUAAAGAGAAUGUAGGCGGGUAAUUAAGUCAGAAGUGAAAUCCAAUAGCUCAACUAUUGAACUGCUUUUGAAACUGAUAACCUAGAAUAUGGGAGAGGUAGAUGGAAUUUCUGGUGUAGGGGUAAAAUCCGUAGAGAUCAGAAGGAAUACCGAUUUGCGAAGGCGAUCUACUGGAACAUUAUUGACGCUGAGAUUCGAAAGCGUGGGGAGCAAACAG
rnacentral:rRNA from 1 species